UACUAAUUCACGCUCUUGAAAAGAAGAGCAAUGGGCAUGUUUGAGGUGUUCAGGAUAGCGUUUAUACUGGUAGCCUUUUGGUGAGGGAAGCAAGAAUGAUGUCGGCCACAGAUGGAAAUCCUAGCAAUUCCUGUGCUGCUCAGGCCAUUGAUGCAUAAGCAAGGAAUGCAUAAUGAACCCUGGCUACCUGAUUUAUCUGCACAAGGACUGAUGACUUUAUAGCUUAUGAGUGCCAGAGCAAAACUGAG
rnacentral:lncRNA from 1 species